rnacentral:rRNA from 1 species
CGUGGCGUACGGCUCCUUAACACGUAGUCAACCUGCCCUGGAGACAUGGACAACCCCGGGAAACUGGGAUUAAUCCGUGAUAGGUCAUCCCAUCUGGAAGGAGGGAUGGCUUAAAGGGGUGCGCGGCCUUCUUCCGUGCAUUCGCUCCAGGAUGGGACUGCGACCGAUCAGGCUGUUGGCGGGGUAAUGGCCCACCAAACCUGUAACCGGUACGGGCCUUGAGAGAGGUGGCCCGGAGAUGGACACUGAGAGAAGGGUCCAGGUCCUACGGGGCGCAGCAGGCGCGAAACCUUCGCAAUGCGCGAAAGCGUGACGAGGUUAAUCCGAGUGGCCUCCGCUGAGGAGGUCUUUUGUCAGCUGUAAAUAGGCGGGCGAAUAAGGGGAGGGCAAGCCUGGUGUCAGCCGCCGCGGUAAUACCAGCUCCUCGAGUGGUCGGGGCGAUUAUUGGGCCUAAAGCAUCCGUAGCCGGUUCCGUAGGUCCUCUGUUAAAUCCAUCAGCUCAACUGAUGACCUGCAGAGGAUACCGCGGGACUAGGAGGCGGGAGAGGCGGACGGUACUCCGCGUGUAGGGGUAAAAUCCUUUGAUCCGCGGAAGA